AUUGAACGCUGGCGGCAGGCCUAACACAUGCAAGUCGAGCGAGCGGCGGACGGGUGAGUAAUGUAUGGGGACUGCCCGAUAGAGGGGGAUAACUACUGGAAACGGUAGCUAAUACCGCAUACUAUCGGAUAACCCAUAUGGGAUUAGCUAGUAGGUGAGGUAAUGGCUCACCUAGGCGACGAUCCCUAGCUGGUCUGAGAGGAUGAUCAGCCACACUGGGACUGGGAUACGGCCAAGACACUCCGGGAGGGCGCAGGGGGGGAUAUUGGACAAUGGGCGAAAGGCUGAUGCAGCCAGUCCGCGGGUAUGAAGAAGGGCCUCGGGUUGUAAAGUACUUUCAGUCGGGAGGCGUUACCGACAGAAGAAGCACCGGCUAACUCCGUGCCAGCAGCCGCGGUAAUUC
rnacentral:rRNA from 1 species